CUUUGCAGUUUUUCCUCACUGAACUGCAAGGGCCUGCUACAAGGCUGCUAACAGAGAUCCCCAGUGGUGCACAGGAAUCUCCCAGCAGCUUACAUGAGACAAGAGCACAAAAGAUGGGGAUGCCAUGACUCCUUCUCUGAAUAUGGUAUAUGGAGAAGAGGUGGUACAGAGUUGUCUGAGUGGCUUCUGGAAACUACAGGUCCACAGGGAAGGUGAAUGAUCCAGGAUGUGUGCUGUGAUAUCCAGAUCAAGCCAGAUGGGCUGUUGACUGUCUUUGCCUGGACAGCCUGACUUUACUGGCCGGAGGAAAAAGGUUGAUGAUUACUCCUUUUGCAGUAUAAGUCACCUUUUGAGCUGUUAACCCAGACAAGCCUGCAUACCGCAACAGGGCUAUAUGGAAAACCCAAACAAUUGCAGGAGUGCCUUGAGCACAGAGUAACAGAAGCGGAGAUACAUACACAUACUCAGGGUAGAAGACCUGGAUGUGGUUCCCAACUCUGCCACAUGUUUCCAUUGUGUCUCUACAGAACGAAACGGACUGGCAUCAGAGGAGAUCAGAAGUCCAGCCAGUUUUGUAUCUUGCUUAUCAGUCUACGGAGGAAUCAAAGAAAAUGGAG
rnacentral:lncRNA from 1 species